CUCUCCUCACCCCCACUCAGCUCCUCUUACUCUCCUGGAGGGGCAGGCAGGGCUCACUGAGGACCCGCUCUCCCUCCAAGCUCCCGCUGUACCUCCCAUUCAGCACUUUCAAUGGGGACCAAGGGAGAGAAUGAGAGUCAGGGGCUGGUUUCAGCCAGCGAGCAGCAGGCAGAGAGAGAAAAACUGGCAAAGAAGUUUGCUUGUGCUGGGUCCCAGCUUUGUCAGCCAGCUGGGCCAGAUGCCACCGUGGAGGCAUCUGUCUCCACACAUCCUGUUUCUGGGGAUUGAUUCGCACAGCUGUCUCUUAGAUGGAAAGGAGGUGGCUGCCAACAUGACCCAGAGCAUCCUUCCAGCCCUACUUUAGGCAGGAUAGCUGAGUGGGAAGAUCCUGGGUUUUCAGUUGGGCAGGGAUUUCAAUCAGAUUCUGACACUCCCUAGAGGUGUCACCUUGGGUAAAUUGCCCAUAGUGCCAGAGAUGUAUAAUAGCGGUAAGAAUGUUUGGUUCAAAUCCCAGUUCUCCUUCCUAGCUGUGUGGCCUCAGACAACUUACCUGAUAUCUCUGAAUCUCAGUUCUCUGAAUCUCUGAAAUGGGGAUCCUACCUGUACUUAUUCUCGUAGGAUUGUUGGGAAGAUUGAGUGACUUAAUGCACAUUCAAGAGUUUAGAACAGUGCCUGGCACCAAGUGUAGUCUCUGACUGUUAUAACCUUCUCUGAGCCUGUAAAAUGGGGUAACCUCACCUACUUCUGGGGUCAUUCUGAAGGACCAAAGAGCUAAUGGAAGUGAAGCACCUAGUCAUAUGCCUGGCACACAAGAGAUGCUCAAAAAUGGCAAUCUUAAUGGAAGUAGGAUUAUAUAGUAUGAGUCCUUAGUCUGAGAACUACCUUGCGUAAUACACUUUAUGUCUCUGAGGCUCAACUUGGACACCUGUAAAAUGGGGCUGAACAUUGGGAGCCCACCUGCAUCACUGUCUUACUAAGAGACUGGUUCAAUGAGAUGGAAACAACCUAUGCUCCUCAUCAACAGGAUAUUCCCUCAAGAUUGAAGACGAACAAGAAAAGAGGAAUUUAUACCAGUCAACACAAGGUUGACAUAAGGGAAGCCAUAUUGUAAAAAAGAAG
rnacentral:lncRNA from 1 species